GUCUUAUCAAGAGCAGGUGGAGGGAUGAGCCCUACGAAGCCCGGCAACCGACCAUAAUUGGCACGGUGCUAAUUCUUACAACACAUAUUUGUGUUGAAAGAUAAGAG
rnacentral:ncRNA from 2 species